GAUGAACGCUGGCGGCGUGCUUAACACAUGCAAGUCGAACGAAGCACUUUAUUUGAUUUCCUUCGGGACUGAUUAUUUUGUGACUGAGUGGCGGACGGGUGAGUAACGCGUGGGUAACCUGCCUUGUACAGGGGGAUAACAGUUGGAAACGGCUGCUAAUACCGCAUAAGCGCACAGCAUCGCAUGAUGCAGUGUGAAAAACUCCGGUGGUAUAAGAUGGACCCGCGUUGGAUUAGCUAGUUGGUGAGGUAACGGCCCACCAAGGCGACGAUCCAUAGCCGACCGGAGAGGGGGACCCGCCACAAUGGGACUGAGACACGGCCCAAACUCCUACGGGAGGCAGCAGUGGGGAAUAUUGCACAAUGGGCGAAAGCCUGAUGCAGCGACGCCGCGUGAGCGAAGAAGUAUUUCGGUAUGUAAAGCUCUAUCAGCAGGGAAGAUAAUGACGGUACCUGACGAAGAAGCACCGGCUAAAUACGUG
rnacentral:rRNA from 1 species